GUGGGGAAUAUUGGACAAUGGGCGCAAGCCUGAUCCAGCCAUGCCGCGUGAGUGAAGAAGGCCCUAGGGUUGUAAAGCUCUUUCACCCGCGACGAUGAUGACGGUAGCGGGAGAAGAAGCCCCGGCUAACUCCGUGCCAGCAGCCGCGGUAAUACGGAGGGGGCAAGCGUUGUUCGGAUUUACUGGGCGUAAAGGGCGCGUAGGCGGAUGUUCAUGUCAGAGGUGAAAGCCCCGGGCUCAACCUGGGAACUGCCUUUGAAACGGGACGUCUUGAGUUCGGGAGAGGGUAGCGGAAUUCCCAGUGUAGAGGUGAAAUUCGUAGAUAUUGGGAAGAACACCGGUGGCGAAGGCGGCUACCUGGCCCGAGACUGACGCUGAGGCGCGAAAGCGUGGGGAGCAAACAGGAUUAGAAACCCGAUAGUCC
rnacentral:rRNA from 1 species